rnacentral:rRNA from 1 species
GAUGAACGCUGGCGGCGUGCCUAACACAUGCAAGUCGAGCGGGGACAAUGACUUCGGUUGUUGUUCUAGCGGCGGACGGGUGAGUAACGCGUGAGCAACCUCUCUCUCAGUGGGGAAUAACACAGGGAAACUUGUACUAAUACCGCAUGGGACCACGACCCGGCAUCGGGUUGAGGUGAAAGAUUAAUCGCUGAGAGGUGGGCUCGCGUCUGAUUAGAUAGUUGGUGGGUAACGGCCUACCAAGUCGACGAUCAGUAGCCGACCUGAGAGGGUGAUCGGCCACAUUGGGACUGAGACACGGUCCAAACUCCUACGGGAGGCAGCAGUGGGGAAUAUUGCACAAUGGGCGAAAGCCUGAUGCAGCAACGCCGCGUGAAGGAAGAAGGUCUUCGGAUCGUAAACUUCUGUCCUUAGGGAAGAUAAAUGACGGUACCUUUGGAGGAAGCCCCGGCUAACUACGUG